rnacentral:rRNA from 1 species
CACUUUAUACUGUGAAACUGCGAAUGGCUCAUUAAAUCAGUUAUCGUUUAUUUGAAAGUACCUUACUACAUGGAUACCUGUGGUAAUUCUAGAGCUAAUACAUGCUGAAAACCUCGACUUCGGAAGGGGUGUAUUUAUUAGAUAAAAAACCAAUGCCCUUCGGGGCUCCUUGGUGAAUCAUAAUAACUUAACGAAUCGCAUGGCCUUGCGCCGGCGAUGGUUCAUUCAAAUUUCUGCCCUAUCAACUUUCGAUGGUAGGAUAGUGGCCUACCAUGGUGGCAACGGGUAACGGGGAAUUAGGGUUCGAUUCCGGAGAGGGAGCCUGAGAAACGGCUACCACAUCCAAGGAAGGCAGCAGGCGCGCAAAUUACCCAAUCCCGACACGGGGAGGUAGUGACAAUAAAUACUGAUACGGGGCUCUUUUGGGUCUCGUAAUUGGAAUGAGUACAAUCUAAAUCCCUUAACGAGGAACAAUUGGAGGGCAAGUCUGGUGCCAGCAGCCGCGGUAAUUCCAGCUCCAAUAGCGUAUAUUAAAGUUGUUGCAGUUAAAAAGCUCGUAGUUGAACCUUGGGUCUGGCUGGCCGGUCCGCCUCACCGCGAGUACUGGUCCGGCUGGACCUUUCCUUCUGGGGAAUCUCAUGGCCUUCACUGGCUGUGGGGGGAACCAGGACUUUUACUGUGAAAAAAUUAGAGUGUUCAAAGCAGGCCUUUGCUCGAAUACAUUAGCAUGGAAUAAUAGAAUAGGACGUGCGGUUCUAUUUUGUUGGUUUCUAGGACCGCCGUAAUGAUUAAUAGGGAUAGUCGGGGGCGUCAGUAUUCAGCUGUCAGAGGUGAAAUUCUUGGAUUUGCUGAAGACUAACUACUGCGAAAGCAUUCGCCAAGGAUGUUUUCAUUAAUCAGGGAACGAAAGUUAGGGGAUCGAAGACGAUCAGAUACCGUCGUAGUCUUAACCAUAAACU